UACGUAGGGGGCAAGCGUUGUCCGGAUUUAUUGGGCGUAAAGAGCGUGUAGGCGGCCAGAUAGGUCAGCUGUGAAAACUCGAGGCUCAACCUCGAGAUGUCGGCUGAAACCAUCUGGCUAGAGUCCGGAAGAGGAGAAUGGAAUUCCCGGUGUAGCGGUGAAAUGCGUAGAUAUCAGGAAGAACACCGGUGGCGAAAGCGCUCUGCUAGGCCGCAACUGACACUGAGGGACGAAAGCUAGGGGAGCGAAUGGG
rnacentral:rRNA from 1 species